GUUUCUCUCGUCAAUAACCUCCAAGAAACAGCCCUCCCACGGCCUUCAACUUAGCCCAAAGCAUCCCAAGAUCAUCCAUGGCCAAAACUCGAAGACCUCCAUGAAUCCUUCGAUUUCUCCUUCUCUUGUCUUUGAUUUUCUUCAAAUGGGUAAGGACCCAUUGGUCUUUACUAAAAUUUAAUUGCAUGUUAAGUUUACUGAUGGUUUUAUGUUAAUAUUAUGGUUUUAUGUUAAUAUUAUAUGUCUGUAUUUAGGCCUGCGUGGUUGUGAUUAUACUCCAACCCAUGGCUUAUGUAUUAUAAGUAUGCUACUAUAUAUACAUAUAUAUUUGUAUGCCUACGUGGUCGUGAUUAUACUCCGAUCCAUGGCUUAUGAUUUAUACUUAUAUAUCUAAACUGUUGUUAUGUGAUCUUGCGGUAAAAGUAAAGUAUUCGAUGCUUUAUGUGAAAUAUUAGAUAGCUAUGGCCUAAGGUGCAUUUAAAUGCGAUAUAAGGGAUAUUUUUAAUGAUAGGAAUGUGUGAUUAUGUGAUUAUAUGAUUAUGUGAUUAUGUGACUAUGAUAUGGUUAAUGUUGAAGAAUGCCCUCCUUUGUGCUACUUUGGGUUAUGAAAUGUUUAUGUGUACUUAUGAAGUGAAAGUGUUAUGUUCUAUAUGAUUAUGUGUUAAUUGAUUUCAUUAAAUAUUUGAAGUAUAGUUGGUAUGGUACUUGUUACUUUGGUGUUGUUUGUGUGAAAGUAAAGAUAGAUAAAUCAUAUGAUUCAUCAGUAAGUCUAUGAUGCAUAAAUCAUUAUUUUUCAAAGUUAAAAAUGUUUGGAAAUUGGUUGUGGAUCUAGGUGAAUAAGUAUGGGAUACGGGGGGCUGGUAUUCCGUUAGUGGUUGAUAGUUGGGGUCCACAUAGGGACCUGUUCACAUAGGGACUGAUUCACAUAGGAAUCGGGAUUAUAAACCACUAACUCGGCUAUAGGAAAGUUAUAGCCGUGACUAUAUUCCGGUUAGUGGUUGAUAGUUGGGGUCUACAUAGGGACCUGUCCACAUAGGGACUGAUUCACAUAGGAAUCGGGAUUAUAAAUCACUAACUUGGCUAUAGUAAAGCUAUAGUCGUGACUAUAGUAAAGUUAUAGAUCACAAGCUACAAAAUACACGGCUUAUUGCCGAACUCCACAAUUGUUUUUCCAAACGGGCCCAAUGCUUUCUCAUGCAUUAUUUCAUGAAAAGUCUAGAAGUCUAAAGUUGCAUAUUGCAUAUUAAAGUUAAAAAGGGUGUUAAGUACCCUUAAAUGUUAGAAGGGUGUUAAGUACCCGAUUAUUAAAGAAAGUUGGAUGUUAAGUAUCCGUGAAAUGUUUAAAGUAACAGGUAAAAUGUGAGAUUCAUGUUAAGUGUAUGAAUGAAUGAUUGCAAGUUUAUUAGAUGCCUAAUUUUAUGUGUUAAGUUUCUUACGUGGCCAAUUAUAUGUGAUAUGAAUGAAUGUCAUGAUAUUGAAUAAAUUAAUAUAGUUAUGCCAUAAACGACAUAGAUAAAAAGAACAUAGACGAGGACUUUAGGACUCCCGUAGGGCGUGAGUGACACGUUGAGAGAGGUGUGAGUAUCGUCAGGCCAAUGUUCUUACUGAGCAAGUGGUUAGGCUCACGCUUUAUGCGAAUUCCCUUUUUAGGUUCUCAAUGUAAUCAGAGUGGCGCAGCGGAGCGGAGUUGGAGGAAUCACAAGCCUUGAUGCCUUAAAUGUUCUCUCCGGAUUUCUUAUAAAAUUAUGUCUCCAAUUUUCCUUUUAAAAGUCUAAUGUAUAAUGGAGAUCUUUACGAGUUCAUUUUGUACUCUGAUUCUGGAAUCUAGUCUAUUAAACCGGGGUAUAUAAAUAAAGUUUAUUUUCUU
rnacentral:lncRNA from 1 species